rnacentral:misc_RNA from 1 species
GCUGCUAUUGCACCCCCAACAGGAUUUCAAGGUAUCAUUUCAUGGCUGUUUCCUCCAGCAAUAGUUGCAGGAAUGUACUUCAAUGUUCCUGGGGAGUAUUUGUACAUUGGAGCAGCUGUGUUUACAAUUGUGUUCUGUAUCAUUGAGAUGGACAAACCAAGUGAAGCACACAAUUUCGAGCCUCAAAUAUAUAACAUGGAGAGAGGUGCGCGAGAUAAGUUGAUAUCGGAUUAUAACACAAUGGACAUUUGGGAAUUCAACGAAAAGUAUGGUGAUUUAUGGGAUUUUACUGUUAAGAAGGA